AUACGUAGGGGGCGAGCGUUGUCCGGAUUUAUUGGGCGUAAAGGGUGCGUAGGCGGCCUUGUAAGUCAGAUGUGAAAGAUCAUGGCUUAACUGUGGUAAGCAUUUGAAACUGCAGGGCUUGAGUACAGGAGAGGAGAGUGGAAUUCCUCGUGUAGCGGUGAAAUGCGUAGAUAUUAGGAGGAAUACCAGUGGCGAAGGCGACUCUCUGGACUGAUACUGACGCUGAGGCACGAAAGCGUGGGGAGCAAACAGGAUUAGAUACCCUGGUAGUCCACGCUAUAAACGAUGAGUGCUAGGUGUCGGGGGUCAAACCUCGGUGCCGCAGUUAACACAUUAAGCACUCCGCCUGGGGAGUACGGCCGCAAGGCUGAAACUCAAAGGAAUUGACGGGG
rnacentral:rRNA from 1 species